AUGGCCCUGGACCCGGACCCCGUAUCUGAGCCAGCCUGUGAGUUCUCUACUGCUCUUUCCGCAGCCAAGCCUUCCAGACUGGCCCAAAGUUCUCCCUGGUGGUUCUGCCCACAGGAAAGUGGGUUUCCAGGCCCUCGGGCCACCCCCUACCUGGAGCAGGGUAGGAGGCUGGCGCAAAUGCAUUGGCCAACCGGCCACAGGCGCCAGCCGGUCCGGGGUGCCUGGCCCCGCCCCUGGCCCCUGGCCUUGGUGCUGCAGUGCCCCCAGCCCGGGCUCCCUCGGCGAGACCAGCCCCACAGCAACGCAGUCGCUUCGCAGGCUGGCGCUCCUGGGCGAAGGACAGACGGUCGCUGCCCAGGACCCAGAGGAGAGGAUGUGGAGGCAGGUCCGCUUGGAAAGCACAGCCAGUGGGGACCCGCCCAUACCAGCAUCGUCCCUUCUGCUUCCCCCUCCUUCCCCCUUGGAGAGGUCACAGCCUCCAGAUCCCCGCUCCCUUGCCUGGCCCAGAUGGUGACAAUGCCACCCUGCCCUGGCACUUCCUCCCGGGAGGCCAUGUGGUGGGCAAGGAUGAGCCCAGGUGAGCAGGUGACCAGCAGCACCAGGUAUAUGCAUCUCCACAGGGCUGAUUGACAGCCGCCUGCAUCAUUACUCCCCGUUGCUGCAGGGACCUCGGUGACAGCAGGGGCAGGGACCUGCCGAGGGCUUGUUUAUAAAGUUGACUUGGUCCGGGAGCGAGGGGACAUGUGUGUACUUGUGGCUGACUCACGUGGUUGUGUGGCAGAAGCCAACACACGUUAUAAAGCGAUUGUGUGUGUGUGUUUGCUCAGCUGUGUCCGAGUCUCUGCAACCCCACAGACUCCUCCGGACUCCCGCCAGGCUCCUCAGUCCAUGGAAAAUCUCCAGGCAGGAAUACUGGAGUGGGUUGUUUCUUUCUCCAGGGGAUCUUCCUGGCCCAGGAUCGAACCCGCAUCUCUUGCCUCCCCUGCACUGACAGGCAGAUUCUUUAUCUCUGCGCCACCUGGGAAGCAAUUAUCCUCAAUUAAAAACAAUAAAGUUCCCUUGAUUUUAGCUGUCUCUGAAAAGCUGGUUUGAACAGGGCAUUCCAAGGGCAUCAUCUCAAAAGGCGGUGGUUGGAGUUUACAAAGGCCCUCUGCUUACAACGCGUGUUGCCAUGUUACAUAUGCUGGGUGCCCUGGUCCCCACAAGCCCAGCCCCCCGGCAGGCACGUGCAGCCAGCAGCGUGGGGGCAAGGGGUUCUUUAUCCAAGAGGGAAAAGGGGGGUACAACCCUGCACCGGCCCCCUCCCCGAGUCUCCCACCUGUACCCUCCCUGGAGAAAAGGCGUGUGGUUGAUCUAAAGGAUCUCAGCGAUCUCUCAGUGUUUAGCCUCAAAAUAAAAAUAAUAAUAAUAUAGUAGGGAAAAAAAAAUCACAAAGGCUGUCCCUUCAGCAGGAACCAAAAUCAGCACAUGGAAAGAGUCACGGACUCACCCAGGAAGUAACAGCUGCCCCAGGGUCCCUCCGAGAGGAUAGCAGCCACUGUCCUAUAGUGGGUGGGGGGGCCCUUCAAGAUCUCACACCAACAGCCACGCCAGCCGGCCUCUGUCUCCCCAGCUGCUGUCACCAGUGGCUUAUUCAGAGGUGGUUUUGAUAUAAAAGGAAUGGCUUGUCCAGCCCAGAGGUCAGAGUUUGUGAAGAGCAAGCCCAUGAGAGGAGGAUGCUCUCACGAAGGAGGCCGCCAGACCAGCGCCUCUCAUCAGAACACGCCUGUGAGCCGCCUCCGGCCCACCACGCGCAGGCUGACCACCUCCGCCCACAGCGUCCCUCCGUGCUUAACCCCACCACCGUCUCUCAGAUGAGGAGCAGAGAACUCACUCCACAAAGGACAGAAAUCGAUCCUGCAGCAGUUUCUGUAAGGUUUCAGUCGGGCUGCAGGCUUCUGAUCCUCUGUUGUAAUACUCUAGGUAGAGUCACCGGGCAUUUAAAUACGGUACAAAUGAGAUGGCAGACAAGGAGCCAACGGGCAGAAAAAACAGAACCACACAGGUUUUACUUUCUUAAUACGGUUAUAAAAUGCUGCCAGCCAGGGCUUUCCAGUCGAACUUGGUUUGGUAUGGAAUGCNNNNNNNNNNNNNNNNNNNNNNNNNNNNNNNNNNNNNNNNNNNNNNNNNNNNNNNNNNNNNNACACACACACACACACACACACACACACACACACGCUCACACCCCAUACAUACUGGCAGCACACACAACAAGCUCACCGAUACAGAAAAUAUAAGAAGGAAUAAUUCAAUUACGUUUCAGUGAAGAAGGAAAAUACAGGGGUGAGGAAUCAAAAUAGUCUCUUUAAGAAACACAGCUUCAGAAAGGUUUAAUUCCCCUAAAUUAAAGACUUUUCCAGUCAGAAGCCUUAGAGAAGGCGGAGGGCUGGUUGGGCUUCGACAUCCAAUUAUUUUUUGUGCUUCGCAAAAUCUAAAGAAUAAAAAGGUACAACACGGGCCAAGGAUUUUGACCUGGGUGAGAACUAAAACACACAGCAGUUUUAAAUCUCCUUGGGGAUUAGCGAUCAUUAUAUAUUUUCAGUGAGAAAUAAGUUAGUCACAGAGAGAAUCCUGAAUAAAGGGCCUGCCCCUCCCGCCACCGUCAGCAUGCCAAUGGCUUGCGUGCACCGCUCCAACGUUUCUGAGCCCACAGACCCCAGGCCGAGUUUGCAGCCGCCCACCGUGAGCUGAAGGGAGAUUAAGUACACUUGUGAAGCGAUGUAUUUGGACUUUCAGCUGAGUUGAGAACAGAGAGCCCGUCAUUCCUGCGUGCAGAAGGGGGGCUAGAGACUCUAGGGGUCGGUGGGGCAGGAAGAGGGGACAAACACCCUCGAGCCCGGCCCGCGGGCAGCCCUGAACUUGCGCAGCUCGGCCGGCCUGCCGGCGGGACCUGGACAGCGAGACGGCCCCGUGGCUGACUGUCUGUUUCCCUUUGCUGAGCGGGGACCGGGGUACAUGCAGUCUCGUCUCCACGUGGUCCCUGCUGCCUGUGGGGGAGACAGCUCUGCUCUCCUCUCCAGAUGGACCUGUGAGCGGGCCGAUCUUGUUGCUCCGUCCUGGGCCCGGAGCCCCCGCAGCGGGCAGGGCUGCGAGGUCCAGGUGGGACCAGACGGCAGGAGUUCAUGUCCCCGUCUUGUCCGGGAGAGUGCCGGCCCCAGGGUCCUGGUGGGAAACGCAGUCACAGGGGCGGUGCUCCGCAUCCGAGACCUGGCCAGCCUCCAGCAUCCCUGGUGGACGCCUGCCCCUCUUGGCGUCCAGGAGCGAGAAGGGCGGCAGGACGGAACCGCACAGAACCUGGUGUGUGAACGCAACUUAUAUCCGUUCCCACCAGCUUUGUGCUCAGGACCUGGAACUGAACAGAAACAAAGCAUCCGGUCCUGUGAGAACGGUUUCCGUUUCCGUGUGGACUGGGCGCCCGGUUGAGUCACCCUUCACCAGGGCAGGGAGGUGGGGAUUGCCCGUGGUCCCAUCCGGAUCCCGGCGCUCCAGGUCCCCGGCCAGAAGGUGGUAGAAUUGGGGGGCUGAAUUCAGUCCAGUUUAACUCUAGGUUCAACCCAACACUCAGCUCCAUCAUUUAAAAAGUGAAGGGUGUGCUCCUGUUCCAUAGGAGUCCACUGUGUGAGCCUCCCGGUGGCAACAAAUGAUCCUAUUUUAAGAUUGCAAACUUGACGUAAGAAUUCACGUUGGUGUAGAGGUCGGGGUUCAGCCGAGCCCCUUCUCUUGCGCGAUAGCAGGGGUCCUGCCGCUGACCACGGCUCUCCUUUGCUUCCUGCCCAAGCCCCUUGCAAGAACCUGGACCAUGUGCAGUGGAGGGGGUGGGGCAGCAAACACCCCCCUACCCUCUUAGUUCUUCUCAACCAGGGCCCCUCCUGGCGGUGCACAGGUUACGCCGACCCGGGUGAGCAGAGCGUCUCGCGUCUGAGGAGACGGCACCUGGGCCAGCCGGACUCCUGGGGCUGGGAGGCUGAGGCUGACAGAGGAGAGAGCCCGUCCGCUGGGAUGGCCGACCCCAAACAAAGAUGAAACCACACACCUGUGAGAAGAGAAAGCUGGUGCAGCAGAUCCGAGGCCCCCAGGCACCCGACGGGGGAACUCACCAGCAAGGCCAGGACUCGUCGACAGGGAGGCUACUCUCGCCCCGAUGGUUCUGGUCCCAGACUGGCCACAUGCAGUCUCCACACCAAAGGCGCCACCGAGCAGCUGGAUGCUGAGCUGGUUCUGGAGACAGAGGGCAGGGCCGCAGGUGUGGCCGGGCCGACGGGGCUGCGGGCCGGUCCCCAGUCCUUGCUCAGGGCCCUGUGGGGCCUGGGUUCCAGACCCAUCGCCGGGGCUCCCACUUCACCAGGGACACAGGACGGACGUGCCGAGGCUCUGGGGAGGGAGAAACUGACUCCAUCCUCCCCUCCCUUCUCACAGGGCACUUCACGUCGUUGCGAUGAGCCGGGUUUCUGUAGGUUUCUGCUGCAGAAGUGCCCAGGGCACCUCAGAGCCAACCAGUGGGCAAGUGGCCUGAGGCGUGGGGCCCUGGCACCGGGGCACUGAAGCGGGCAGUC
rnacentral:lncRNA from 1 species